GAAAACUAAACUCUUUUCUGCACAGGUAUACAUGUGAAAAUAGAUUAUACAUAUGAUUUAAAAUGAUGAGUACUUUCAAUUUAUAUAUAUAUUUCUAAUCGUUUUGACAAUGUAGCAGUUAAGUAAAGGUUUUACUUUGUUAUUUUUUUGGUCUUGGUUUGUUUUAACUGCUCCUGUCAUAUUUCCUUUCAGGUCCUCAAGAUGACCUUUACUCAUACAUUGUAAUCACAUUGUCUUUCCCUUGGUUGGAAUGGAUGACCAUGAACAGGCUAGUACAACUUCAAGCCAGGACACAAACUGUACAAACUGUUGCAUCUGUUGCAGUUUUGACACAUUUCUGCGACACUGCUGUGAUUCUUUAUCCAUUUCACCUGCUGCUUUUUGUGAAUUAUCCUUGUCAUUUGCCUGUGACGCAUGUCUGGACCAAUUUCUCGGUUCUUUAUUUUAAGUUAGGACAUCCCAGAACUAUAAAGUUUUGACUAGUUUGUUGGAUAUUAUGGAGAUUAGGCCUACUGUCACUAGCAUGCCUGUGCACUUUUUCAUUGCUUUCAAGAAGAUAACAUAUUGCUGACUUUCCUAUACUGUGCCCAUUUUUUCCCUUUAUCCUAUAUAUUGUUUAGGUGAUGUCUGUUAUUUUCAAAAUUACUUUCUAAACUGGGAUGCCAAUGUGAGAGUGAAUGGCUGUCUCUUUUGCCUGUGA